UACGGAGGGGGUUAGCGUUGUUCGGAAUUACUGGGCGUAAAGCGCGCGUAGGCGGAUCAGAAAGUUGGGGGUGAAAUCCCGGGGCUCAACCCCGGAACUGCGUCCAAAACUCCUGGUCUUGAGGUCGAGAGAGGUGAGUGGAAUUCCGAGUGUAGAGGUGAAAUGCGUAGAUAUUCGGAGGAACACCGGUGGCGAAGGCGGCUCACUGGGUCGAUACUGACGCUGAGGUGCGAAAGUGUGGGGAGCAAACAGG
rnacentral:misc_RNA from 1 species